UACGUAGGGCGCAAGCGUUGUCCGGAAUUAUUGGGCGUAAAGAGCUCGUAGGCGGUCUGUUACGUCCGCUGUGAAAACCCAGGGCUUAACCCUGGGCUUGCAGUGGAUACGGGUAGACUAGAGGCAGGUAGGGGAGAAUGGAAUUCCCGGUGUAGCGGUGAAAUGCGCAGAUAUCGGGAGGAACACCGGUGGCGAAGGCGGUUCUCUGGGCCUGACCUGACGCUGAGGAGCGAAAGCGUGGGUAGCAAACAGG
rnacentral:rRNA from 1 species